rnacentral:rRNA from 1 species
AUUCCCCUAGUAACGGCGAGUGAAGGGGGAUCAGCCCAGCACCGAAGCCUGUAGCCAUUUGGCUAUUUGGCAAUGUGGUGUUUAGGCGAGUCCUUGACUUUACUGCUCCACCCCAAGUCCAGCAAUGAGUACGGCGACUGGAUUGGCCCAUAGAGGGUGAAAGGCCCGUGGGGGUGGGGAUCAGGUCAGACAGUAAAGCCCUGGAUUUGCUUUAGAGUCGGGUUGUUUGUGAAUGCAGCCCAAAGUGGGUGGUAAACUCCAUCCAAGGCUAAAUACUUGCACGAGUCCGAUAGCAAACAAGUACCGUGAGGGAAAGUUGAAAAGUACUUUGAAGAGAGAGUAAACAGUGCGUGAAACCGCUUAAAGGUAAACGGGUGGAGUUGAACCGUAAAAUCUGGGGAUUCAGCUAAUGAGUAUGGUUUGUAUUUGGGCAUAUUGGUUGACAUUCGGAGUCUGAGUAAAGUAUCAGGCCCAUACACUUGUGGGUGGGUGUACGAUGUGCUUACCAGGCACUGUGCGCUCUGAAUUGUCCGAACCUGCUUGUUAGUGCACUUUCUCAGGUUGAUCACCACGACCAGCACCACUGUCUGUCUGCUGUGGUCAAACCGAUCAGAUCUGGCAUUUUGUUAGGUUUGGUCGGGAUGGCAGGUAGCUCUUUGAGUCAAUUCUACUUGCUUAUUCGAGUGUAAUUAGCUGACCAUGGUGGAUUUGUGCAGUGUGCUGGAGAUUGCGGCUUUGGUGUGUGUGCGGGUACUGUCUGAGUGACUGUAUCGAGUUUGAUUGACAUGUUACCAGCUUUGGUUGGUCUGUCGAUAGCUUGUUGCAGUUCAUUCAGUAGUGUCCUGUAUGACAUCUACUGGGCCUAUAGUCUGUGGUGUAGUGGUAGACUAUCCACCCGACCCGUCUUGAAACACGGACCAAGGAGUUUAACAUGUACGCGAGUCAUUGGGUCUUACGAAACCCAAAGGCGCAGUGAAAGUAAAGGGGCAGUUUCUGUCCUGAGGUGAGAUCCUGCUGUAUACCAUGAUUGGGGCUACCAAAUAAUCGAGCAGUGGGCGCAUCACCAGCCCGUCUCAUGACGUAGUCAUAUGACCAUGUUGUUGUGUGCACCGUCGGGGCGGAGCCAGAGCGUACACGUUGAGACCCGAAAGAUGGUGAACUAUGCUUGCAAAGGUUGAAGCCAGAGGAAACUCUGGUGGAGGACCGUAGCGAUUCUGACGUGCAAAUCGAUCGUCUAAUGUGAGUAUAGGGGCGAAAGACUAAUCGAACCAUCUAGUAGCUGGUUCCCUCCGAAGUUUCCCUCAGGAUAGCUGGCAUUCGGAGAGUAAAACAGUUUUAUCCGGUAAAGCGAAUGAUUAGAGGUAUUGGGGAUAAAUCAUCCUCAACCUAUUCUCAAACUAUAAAUGGGUGAGAAGCUUUACUCGCUCAAAUGGAGUGAAGCGUUGAAUGUGAGUGCCAAGUGGGCCAUUUUUGGUAAGCAGAACUGGCGCUGUGGGAUGAACCAAACGUCUGGUUAAGGUGCCUAACACAACGCUCAUGAGAUACCACAAAAGGUGUUGGUUGGUCCAGACAGCAGGGCGGUGGUCAUGGAAGUCGAAAUCCGCUAAGGA